rnacentral:lncRNA from 1 species
GGGAAGGAGGGGAGCCGGCGGAGCCCGACUCCUCCUCCCCCUCCGUCGACGCCGACGCCGAGCACUUGGGGGAGUCCGGCGGGGACCCGGCCGACUCGUCGCCGGAGGAGCCGCCGUUCUUGGAACCCGUCAGGGACUGGCAGAUGGCGGUGAGCUUGGCGUCCACGGAGGCGUGGAGCGGGCCGGCGAGGUGCGCGCCGUCGCGGCGGAGGGCCGGGAAGUUGAGGCGCGCCAUGUCGCCGCGGAGGCGGAAGGCGGCCUUGUCGUAGGCGAGCGCCGCGUCCUCGGCGGUGUCGAAGGUGCCGAGCCACAGCCGGGUGCGGUUCUUGGGGAGGCGGAUCUCUGCCACCCACUUGCCCCAGUGGCGCUGGCGGACGCCGCGGUACAGCUUCGACUGCGCCGGCGCCAGCGGCGGCGAUCCGGACUGCUUCAUCGGCUGCGCCCG